UUGGAGGGCAAGUCUGGUGCCAGCAGCCGCGGUAAUUCCAGCUCCAAUAGCGUAUAUUAAAGUUGUUGCAGUUAAAAAGCUCGUAGUUGAAUUUCGGGAUCAAUUUACCGGUCGUGCCAUGGUACGUACUGGUUUUAUUGAUUCCUACCUUCUGACGAACCUUGAUGCCAUUAAUUUGGUGUCAUGGGGAAUCAGGACUGUUACUUUGAAAAAAUUAGAGUGUUUAAAGCAGG
rnacentral:rRNA from 1 species